GUACACAAAAAUGCACAUACUGUGAGCUCGAUGAGUAGGGCGGGACACGUGGUAUCCUGUCUGAAUAUGGGGGGACCAUCCUCCAAGGCUAAAUACUCCUGACUGACCGAUAGUGAACCAGUACCGUGAGGGAAAGGCGAAAAGAACCCCGGCGAGGGGAGUGAAAAAGAACCUGAAACCGUGUACGUACAAGCAGUGGGAGCCUCUUAAUGGGGUGACUGCGUACCUUUUGUAUAAUGGGUCAGCGACUUAUAUUCUGUAGCAAGGUUAACCGAAUAGGGGAGCCGAAGGGAAACCGAGUCUUAACUGGGCGUUAAGUUGCAGGGUAUAGACCCGAAACCCGGUGAUCUAGCCAUGGGCAGGUUGAAGGUUGGGUAACACUAACUGGAGGACCGAACCGACUAAUGUUGAAAAAUUAGCGGAUGACUUGUGGCUGGGGGUGAAAGGCCAAUCAAACCGGGAGAUAGCUGGUUCUCCCCGAAAGCUAUUUAGGUAGCGCCUCGUGAAUUCAUCUCCGGGGGUAGAGCACUGUUUCGGCAAGGGGGUCAUCCCGACUUACCAACCCGAUGCAAACUGCGAAUACCGGAGAAUGUUAUCACGGGAGACACACGGCGGGUGCUAACGUCCGUCGUGAAGAGGGAAACAACCCAGACCGCCAGCUAAGGUCCCAAAGUCAUGGUUAAGUGGGAAACGAUGUGGGAAGGCCCAGACAGCCAGGAUGUUGGCUUAGAAGCAGCCAUCAUUUAAAGAAAGCGUAAUAGCUCACUGGUCGAGUCGGCCUGCGCGGAAGAUGUAACGGGGCUAAACCAUGCACCGAAGCUGCGGCAGCGACACUAUGUGUUGUUGGGUAGGGGAGCGUUCUGUAAGCCUGUGAAGGUGUACUGUGAGGUAUGCUGGAGGUAUCAGAAGUGCGAAUGCUGACAUAAGUAACGAUAAAGCGGGUGAAAAGCCCGCUCGCCGGAAGACCAAGGGUUCCUGUCCAACGUUAAUCGGGGCAGGGUGAGUCGACCCCUAAGGCGAGGCCGAAAGGCGUAGUCGA
rnacentral:rRNA from 1 species